AUGGAAGAAGACCAUUUGCAUGCCCGAAAACCCAACAUUUACUCCAUUUUGAACUGCUAAGUGGAAGAACUGUUAUGCAUCUACUCGUAGCUAAGAACAGUAGCUGGAGUUGGAAGAAGCUGAUGGGAUUGAAAACUGAAGCUUCCCAAAAUUUUCAAAGUAAAACGUUGGCCUGUACAGGGAGAGAGAGAUGUUGUGAGCAAAGCUCGACAGGAAAUAAGGCCAAAAGCUAGUAAAGUGGGUUGGGGCAAGGUUAUUUGGUGUUUUCUUUAUGUUCCUAAGCAUUCUUCAGUUUCCUAGGAUUGGGGGAUAAUUAUAGUUGGUUCAUUUGCUUGUAGGAUGUUCUUAUUCAAACAGACUAUGGGAAGAGGUGGUGCAGCUUUGCAAUUUAUAAUGGGAGCCAAGGGUGGGUUGGAAUGAUGUUGUAUAUUGGAUUUGAAGAGAGCGAUAAUAGGCAAUUCAGAUGUCAACAAACAAAGAUCAGAACUGGAGCUGUUUGAAUUGAUGAAGGGAAGUGUGAGUGUGAAACUGUGUGUGAUACAGAAAUUAAUAGAAAUGA
rnacentral:lncRNA from 1 species